rnacentral:tRNA from 3 species
GACAAGAUGGCCGAGCGGUUAAGGCGCAUGACUCAAGUUCAUGUAGAGAAAUCUGCGUGGGUUCGAGUCCCACUCUUGUCA